rnacentral:lncRNA from 12 species
ACAAGAGGAGCAGGAGCCGGCAAGGUCAGAUGCGAGGUGUCCAGCCUGCAUAAAGGGGUUGUGAGGGUGUAUCAGCAGCUGCCUUGCCAUGGCCUCCUGGGCCCUCCUGCUCCUCGCCUCGGUGCUCCUGGCCACCCCAGGUCUGACCUAUUCUGGUCUGAUCCCUGAGGACCAUGAUGACCUGUCCACGGCCGACAUUUGUCAGGAAGAGCAGUUCUUCAGGAGACUGGCCCAGGAGGCUGCCCAGGGCGACCAGGCAUUCAACCAAUGUGAUAUUUGUCGAAUGAUAAUGACUUGGCUGAGGACUUGCGUGGGACCGUCCCAGAUUCAGGAAGCCAUUCAGAAGGCUACAACAGCGGUGUGCUCAAAGAUUCCAGCGGUGGAAAAAGUCUGCAAAGAUAUCCUCACCAGAGUUUUGUGUAGUGUUGCCCAGUUUUUCCUGAAUAGUGAUCCCUCCAGGGAUAUCUGUGUGACCUUCAGGUUGUGCAGACAUCAAGUAGGUGAGUACAGAGGUAACAGCAGGAACCCCUUCCUGGAGGGUCCAGAUCUCAUCCCCAAUUAUAUGCAACAUGGUGUAAAAACAUGGAAAUACAUCUGUCAUAGACAAGUUCAUAAGCUACUCCUACAUGUCCCUCCUAGCGCCCUUGUUUGACACAUUCCUCCCCCUACUGUGUGGCAGUCUGGAGAAUUUGGGCAGGUGGGCUAUAACAAAAAGGUUGCGAAAUACUCAUGAAGAAUCUGGGCUUUUAAAAUUUUUUACUUAAAAAAAAAAUGUUAAGUAAUCUCUACAUCCAUCGUGGGGUUUUAACUCACAAUCCUGAGAGCCAGAGGCCCAGGUGAGUCACUGAGCCAGCCAGGUGCCCCAAGGGAUUUGGGUUUUCUCCCAGGCAACCCUGGGUGACAUCAGGGCUCCAUCCCUGGUCAGCCAUGCACUUGAGCAAGUAGCUUAACGCCUGUGAACUUGAGCGUCUCUACCUGUGAAGGGGAUAAUAAUCCUGAUUUCUUAUUUUGAGUAACGCUUGAGUGAGAUGAUUAUGCGUAAGGAGGUUACCACCAAGGAAGUGGCCUCAGACUGGGCUAGGCAUAGACGACAGAGCCCUGACUGACUCCUGUCCCCAGCCCAGCAGCGGUUCCUGGGAACAGGAACCAGGCACCAUCUAGCCCAGGACACCCGGGGCCCGAGAGAUGGGCUCGGGAACCCCGCUGGCAGGGAGGGCUCUGCAGCCUCUCCCUCCAGGGCUGCCCAGGCUGUGCCCACAGAUCAGGCCAGGGUGGUGGGACUGGGGGCGGAGAAGGGCCCUGAGUGGCUCUGGCAGCCAGUCUUGCCUUGACUGAGGCUUUGGGACUUGAUGCUGGCAGAUCUGGGGUCACCUCGUAAUGCGAGGUCCCCACCACUUCCUGUCACUGGAGGCUGUGAUUUCCAUCUCCAGAACCCCAAAUCCCCUCAGGCUCCUGACUGGGUUCCAGGAUGUAACUCUGGGUGUGAUCAGCAGGGGCAGGUGGCUGUAGUGCACAUUUGCAGGGACCCCACACCUGCCACAGCUGUUUCUUCUCCCCACUCCAGGUGUCCAAGGAGCUGGGACCUUACUCCACCCCGGGGAGAAGCACAGAGUCUCCAGCAGGCACCGCCAGCUCCUGCCUUCCUAAAUCCAGGACGGACCCUCCAGUUUCUCUCAGCUAGCUCCCUGCAGUGUCGUCCCCUGGCAGGAGAAUAAAAUGUCUUGCAAGCUUUUGGCCA